rnacentral:rRNA from 1 species
GGAAUAUUGGACAAUGGGCGAAAGCCUGAUCCAGCAAUGCCGCGUGAGUGAUGAAGGCCUUAGGGUUGUAAAGCUCUUUUACCCGAGAUGAUAAUGACAGUAUCGGGAGAAUAAGCUCCGGCUAACUCCGUGCCAGCAGCCGCGGUAAUACGGAGGGAGCUAGCGUUGUUCGGAAUUACUGGGCGUAAAGCGCACGUAGGCGGCGAUUUAAGUCAGAGGUGAAAGCCCGGGGCUCAACCCCGGAACUGCCUUUGAGACUGGAUUGCUAGAAUCUUGGAGAGGCGAGUGGAAUUCCGAGUGUAGAGGUGAAAUUCGUAGAUAUUCGGAAGAACACCAGUGGCGAAGGCGGCUCGCUGGACAAGUAUUGACGCUGAGGUGCGAAAGCGUGGGGAGCAAACA